UACGGAGGAUGCGAGCGUUAUCCGGAUUUAUUGGGUUUAAAGGGUGCGUAGGCGGCCGAGUAAGUCAGCGGUGAAAUUUUGCAGCUUAACUGUAACAGUGCCGUUGAUACUGCCAGGCUAGGAUUUGGUUGCUGUGGGUGGAAUGUGUGGUGUAGCGGUGAAAUGCUUAGAUAUCACACAGAAUAUCGAUUGCGAAGGCAGCUCACAAAGCCAAGAUUGACGCUGAGGCACGAAAGCGUGGGGAGCAAACAGGA
rnacentral:rRNA from 1 species